UACAGAGGGGGCAAGCGUUGUUCGGAAUCACUGGGCGUAAAGCGCGUGUAGGCGGCCCAUUAAGUCUGAUGUGAAAGCCCGGGGCUCACCCCCGGAAGUGCAUUGGAAACUGGUGGACUCGAGUCCCGGAGAGGAGAGUGGAAUUCCUGGUGUAGCGGUGAAAUGCGUAGAUAUCAGGAGGAACACCGGUGGCGAAGGCGGCUCUCUGGACGGUGACUGACGCUGAGACGCGAAAGCGUGGGGAGCAAACAGG
rnacentral:rRNA from 1 species